rnacentral:rRNA from 1 species
UAACGGCGAGUGAAGAGGGAAAAGCCCAAAUUUGUAAUCUGGCUCUUUUAUAAGGGUCCGAGUUGUAAUUUUGAGAACUGUUUUCCGUGCUGGACCAUGUACAAGUCUGUUGAAAAACAGCAUCAUUGAGGGUGAUAAUCCCGUACAUGAUAUGGACUACCAGGGCAAUGUGAUACAGUCUCUAAGAGUCGAGUUGUUUGGGAAUGCAGCUCAAAGUGGGUGGUAAAUUCCAUCUAAGGCUAAAUAUAGGUGAGAGACCGAUAGCAAACAAGUACCGUGAGGGAAAGAUGAAAAGAACUUUGGAAAGAGAGUUAACAGUACGUGAAAUUGUUAAAAGGGAAACAUUUGAAGUUACACUUGUUAUUGUUGGUUCAGCUCUUUUUUUAAGGGUGUAUUCCAAUGGUUAACAGACCAGCAUCAAUUUUUGGGUGUUAGAUAAGGGUCUUGAGAAUGUAGCAACUUUGGUUGUGUUAUAGAUCUUGACUUGAUAUAAUGCUUAGGAUUGAGGAACGCAGUGAGCUUCUUUUGAAGUGGAUGUUUUUAAUGUCUUCUCACUA